UGGGGAAUUUUGCACAAUGGGGGCAACCCUGAUGCAGCGACGCCGCGUGAUUUAGAAGGCCUUCGGGUUGUAAAAAUCUUUUGUAUGGGAAGAAAAUGACAGUACCAUACGAAUAAGGACCGGCUAAUUACGUGCCAGCAGCCGCGGUAAUACGUAAGGUCCGAGCGUUGUCCGGAAUCAUUGGGCGUAAAGGGUACGUAGGCGGAUAAGCAAGUUAGAAGUGAAAUCCUAUAGCUCAACUAUAGUAAGCUUUUAAAACUGCUCAUCUUGAGGUAUGGAAGGGAAAGUGGAAUUCCUAGUGUAGCGGUGAAAUGCGCAGAUAUUAGGAGGAAUACCGGUGGCGAAGGCUACUUUCUGGCCAUAAACUGACGCUGAGGUACGAAAGCGUGGGUAGCAAACAGG
rnacentral:rRNA from 1 species